UGCCCAGCAUCUCCUAUCUCUACCUCCGCGUGGCAUUGGCCGGAUUGUGAAUAUCUUUAGGUAAAAUUGGAUCCAACUUCGGUAGG
rnacentral:ribozyme from 1 species